AGAGUUUGAUCCUGGCUCAGAACGAACGCUGGCGGCGCGUUUUAAGCAUGCAAGUCGAACGGGAUUGGAGGUGCUUGCACUUCCAUGAGAGUGGCGAACGGGUGAGUAACACGUAGUUGAUCUGCCUUUCAGUUGGGGAUAGCCUAUAGAGAUAUAGGGUAAUACCGAAUACUUUCUUUACCUUUUGAGGUUUAGAGGAAAGAUCCGUUUGGAUCGCUGAGAGAUGAGACUGCGGCUGAUUAGCUUGUUGGUAGGGUAAUGGCCUACCAAGGCGACGAUCAGUAGCCGGCCUGAGAGGGUGACCGGCCACACUGGGACUGAGACACGGCCCAGACUCCUACGGGAGGCAGCAGCUAAGAAUCUUCCGCAAUGGGGGCAACCCUGACGGAGCGACGCCGCGUGUGCGAAGAAUGUCGAGAGAUUGUAAAGCACUUUUAUGUAGGAAGAAUAAUAGGAUCAGGAAAUGGGUUCGAGAUGACGUUACUACAUGAAUAAGCUCCGGCCAAUUACGUGCCAGCAGCCGCGGUAACACGUAAGGAGCGAGCGUUGUUCGGAAUUAUUGGGCGUAAAGGGCUUGUAGGCGGUUUCAAAAGUCUGAAGUAAAAGAUCACAGCUUAACUGUGGGAGUGCUUCGGAAACUGUGAGACUAGAAUCAGUGAGGGGAAACUAGAAUUCCUGGUGUAGGGGUGAAAUCUGUUGAUAUCAGGAAGAAUACCUGAGGCGAAGGCGAGUUUCUGGCACAUGAUUGACGCUGAUAAGCGAAAGCGUAGGUAGCGAACAGGAUUAGAUACCCUGGUAGUCUACGCCGUAAACGAUGUACACUUGGUGUCUGCAGAGAAUGUAGGUGCCGUAGCUAACGUGUUAAGUGUACCGCCUGGGGAGUAUGCCGGCAACGGUGAAACUCAAAGGAAUUGACGGGGGCCCGCACAAGCGGUGGAGCAUGUGGUUUAAUUCGACGAUACGCGAGAAACCUUACCUGGGCUUGACAUAUACCGGACGGGUGCAGAGAUGCAUCUUCUGCUUGCAGUCGGUAUACAGGUGCUGCAUGGUUGUCGUCAGCUCGUGCCGUGAGGUGUUGGGUUAAGUCCCGCAACGAGCGCAACCCCUAUUGUAUGUUACCACCAUUUAGUUGGGGACUCAUGCAAGACUGCCGGUGACAAACCGGAGGAAGGUGGGGAUGACGUCAAAUCAUCAUGGCCCUUAUGUCCAGGGCUACACACGUGCUACAAUGGUCGGUACAAAGCGCCGCGAAAUCGCGAGAUGGAGCAAAACGCAAAAAGCCGGCCUCAGUUCGGAUUGGAGUCUGAAACUCGACUCCAUGAAGGUGGAAUCGCUAGUAAUCGCGCAUCAGCAUGGCGCGGUGAAUACGUUCCCGGGCCUUGUACACACCGCCCGUCACACCACCCGAGUUGGGGGUACCCGAAGUCGCUAGUCUAACCUUUUAGGAGGACGGCGCCGAAGGUAUGUUCGGCAAGGGGGGUGAAGUCGUAACAAGGUA
rnacentral:rRNA from 1 species